CCCUUAGAUGUUCUGGGCCGCACGCGCGCCACACUGAUGAAUUCAACGAGCCUAGCCUUGUCCGAAAGGUCCGGGUAAUCUCUGAAACUUCAUCGUGAUGGGGAUAGAUCAUUGCAAUUAUUGAUCUUCAACGAGGAAUUCCUAGUAAGCGCAAGUCAUCAGCUUGCGUUGAUUACGUCCCUGCCCUUUGUACACACCGCCCGUCGCUUGUACCGAUUGGAUGGUCCGGUGAAAUCUUCGGAUAGCUGGUAGUUGGCUUGCCAUCUACUGCUAAAAGUUGCUUAAACCUUAUCAUCUAGAGGAACAAGAANUCGUANCA
rnacentral:rRNA from 1 species